GCUUCGUAGUGUAGUGGUAAGGCUCUCGCUUAUUGUGCUCCUGGUCAUGGGUUCGAUUUCCGUCGAGGGCA